rnacentral:rRNA from 1 species
CAGCCGCCGCGGUAAUACGGAGGGAGCUAGCGUUGUUCGGAAUCACUGGGCGUAAAGCGCACGUAGGCGGCUAUUCAAGUCAGGGGUGAAAGCCCGGGGCUCAACCCCGGAACUGCCUUUGAAACUAGAUAGCUUGAAUCUUGGAGAGGCGAGUGGAAUUCCGAGUGUAGAGGUGAAAUUCGUAGAUAUUCGGAAGAACACCAGUGGCGAAGGCGACUCGCUGGACAAGUAUUGACGCUGAGGUGCGAAAGCGUGGGGAGCAAACAGGAUUAGAUACCCCGGUAGUCCCUGUCUCUUAUAA